GAAAUGCGAUAAGUAAUGUGAAUUGCAGAAUUCAGUGAAUCAUCGAAUCUUUGAACGCACCUUGCGCUCCUUGGUAUUCCUUGGAGCAUGCCUGUUUGAGUAUCAUGAAAUCUUCAAAGUAAAUCUUUUGUUAACUCAAUUGGUUUCUACUUUGGUAUUGGAGGUCUUUGCAGCUUCACACCUGCUCCUCUUUGUUCAUUAGCUGGAUCUCAGUGUUAUGCUUGGUUCCACUCGGCGUGAUAAGUUAUCUAUCGCUGAGGACACUGUAAAAGGUGGCCAAGGUAAAUGCAGUUGAACCGCUUCUAAUAGUCCAUUGACUUGGACAAUACUUUUAUGAUCUGAUCUCAAAUCAGGUAGGACUACCCGCUGAACUUAAGC
rnacentral:misc_RNA from 1 species